GGGAUUGCCUUAGUAACGGCGAGUGAAGCGGCAACAGCUCAAAUUUGAAAUCUGGCUCCUCCGGGGUCCGAGUUGUAAUUUGUAGAGAGUGUUUCGGGGGAGACCGCGGUCUAAGUCCAUUGGAACAUGGUGUCAUAGAGGGUGAGAAUCCCGUAUGCGACCGUGGAUCGAACCCAUGUGAAACCUCUUCGACGAGUCGAGUUGUUUGGGAAUGCAGCUCAAAAUGGGUGGUAAAUUUCAUCUAAAGCUAAAUACUGGCUGGAGACCGAUAGCGCACAAGUAGAGUGAUCGAAAGAUGAAAAGCACUUUGGAAAGAGAGUUAAACAGUACGUGAAAUUGUUGAAAGGGAAGCGCUUGCGACCAGACCUGCCCGCAGACGAUCAACCGCUGUUCUCAGCGGUGCACUCGUGCUGCGAUCAGGCCAGUAUCGGUUUCGGCGGUCGGAUAAAGGCCUUGGGAAUGUAGCUCUCUUUCGGGGGAGUUUUAUAGCCCUCGGUGCAAUGCGGCCAGCCGGGACCGAGGACCGCGCUUCGGCUAGGAUGCUGGCGUAAUGGUUGCAAGCGACCCGUCUUGAAACACGGACCAAGGAGUCUAACAUCUAUGCGAGUGUUUGGGUGUCAAACCCAUGCGCGGAAUGAAAGUGAACGGAGGUGAGAACCCUUAAGGGCGCAUCAUCGACCGAUCCAGAUGUCUUCGGAUGGAUUUGAGUAUGAGCAUAGCUGUUGGGACCCGAAAGGUAGGCUGAAAACCCCCGUCCUCCCUAUACUUUUAAUGCUAACAUAUUCGGUAGAUGGUGAACUAUGCCUGAAUAGGGUGAAGCCAGAGGAAACUCUGGUGGAGGCUCGCAGCGGUUCUGACGUGCAAAUCGAUCGUCAAAUUUGGGUAUAGGGGCGAAAGGCAAGGACCCCUCGUAUAAUCUGUUGUAUAGAGUUGUAAGCUAACUUAUUUUUAGACUAAUCGAACCA
rnacentral:rRNA from 1 species